AUUGAACGCUGGCGGAAUGCUUUACACAUGCAAGUCGAACGGCAGCACGGACUUCGGUCUGGUGGCGAGUGGCGAACGGGUGAGUAAUGUAUCGGAACGUGCCCAGUCGUGGGGGAUAACGUAGUGAAAAUUACGCUAAUACCGCAUACGAUCUAUGGAUGAAAGCGGGGGAUCGCAAGACCUCGCGCGGUUGGAGCGGCCGAUAUCAGAUUAGGUAGUUGGUGGGGUAAAGGCCCACCAAGCCAACGAUCUGUAGCUGGUCUGAGAGGACGAACAGCCACACUGGAACUGUGACACGGUCCAGACUCCUACGGGAGGCAGCAGUGGGGAAUUUUGGACAAUGGGCGAAAGCCUGAUCCAGCCAUUCCGCGUGCAGGAUGAAGGCCCUCGGGUUGUAAACUGCUUUUGUACAGAACGAAAAGGUUUCUACUAAUACUAGGAGCUCAUGACGGUACUGUAAGAAUAAGCACCGGCUAACUACGUGCCAGCCGCCGCGGUAA
rnacentral:rRNA from 1 species